GAUGAAGAACGUAGUGAAAUGCGAUACGUAAUGUGAAUUGCAGAAUUCAGUGAAUCAUCGAAUCUUUGAACGCACAUUGCGCCCUCUGGUAUUCCGGGGGGCAUGCCUGUUCGAGCGUCAUUAUAACCACUCAAGCUCUCGCUUGGUAUUGGGGCUCGCGGUUCCGCGGCCCCUAAAAUCAGUGGCGGUGCCUGUCGGCUCUACGCGUAGUAAUACUCCUCGCGAUUGAGUCCGGUAGGUCUACUUGCCAGCAACCCCCAAUUUUUACCGGUUGGCCUCGGAUCAGGUAGGGAUACCCGCUGAACUUAAGCAUAUCAAUAAGCGGAGGA
rnacentral:misc_RNA from 1 species